UACAGAGGUCCCGAGCGUUGUUCGGAUUUAUUGGGCGUAAAGGGUGCGUAGGCGGCGGAGUAAGUUGGGUGUGAAAUCCCGAGGCUCAACCUCGGAAUUGCAUUCAAUACUGCUUCGCUCGAGUACUGGAGAGGAGGCUGGAAUUUACGGUGUAGCAGUGAAAUGCGUAGAUAUCGUAAGGAAGGCCGGUGGCGAAAGCGAGCCUCUGGACAGUUACUGACGCUGAGGCACGAAAGCGUGGGGAGCAAACAGG
rnacentral:rRNA from 1 species